UACGAAGGGGGCUAGCGUUGCUCGGAAUCACUGGGGGUAAAGGGUGCGUAGGCGGGUCUUUAAGUCAGGGGUGAAAUCCUGGAGCUCAACUCCAGAACUGCCUUUGAUACUGAAGAUCUUGAGUUCGGGAGAGGUGAGUGGAACUGCGAGUGUAGAGGUGAAAUUCGUAGAUAUUCGCAAGAACACCAGUGGCGAAGGCGGCUCACUGGCCCGAUACUGACGCUGAGGUGCGAAAGCGUGGGGAGCAAACAGG
rnacentral:rRNA from 1 species